rnacentral:rRNA from 1 species
GCAAGUCGAGGGGCAGCACGGUUUUCGGCCUGGUGGCAACCGGCGCACGCGUGCGUAACGCGUAUACAAUCUACCUAAUACCUGGGAUAGCCCGAGGAAACUCGGAUUUAUACUCCAUAAUAGCACAGAAUGGCAUCGCUUAGUGGUUAAAGAUUUAUUGGUAUUAGAUGGGUAUGCGUCUCAUUAGCUUGUUGGUGAGGUAACGGCUCACCAAGACAACGAUGGGUAGGGGUUCUGAGAGGAUGAUC